GUGAGCUUGGUGGUAAAGCUGCUGGUGAGGGCGUUGUAAACGCUGCGGGUGAUUCUUCUAAUCCGAUGGUCGGAGGUUCGAAUCCUCCCGGGC
rnacentral:tRNA from 1 species